rnacentral:rRNA from 1 species
GGCGGGCGAGGGCGGGUGCCUAUACAUGCAAGUUGAGCGCUGAAGGUUGGUACUUGUACCGACUGGAUGAGCAGCGAACCCGUUAGAAACGCGUGGAGGAAUCUGCCUUUGAGCGGGGGACAACCUUUGGAAACGAAUGCUAAUACCGCAUAACAACUUUAAACACAAGUUUUAAGUUUGAAAGAUGCAAUUGCAUCACUCAAAGAUGAUCCCGCGUUGUAUUAGCUAGUUGGUGAGGUAAAGGCUCACCAAGGCGAUGAUACAUAGCCGACCUGAGAGGGUGAUCGGCCACAUUGGGACUGAGACACGGCCCAAACUCCUACGGGAGGCAGCAGUAGGGAAUCUUCGGCAAUGGACGAAAGUCUGACCGAGCAACGCCGCGUGAGUGAAGAAGGUUUUCGGAUCGUAAAACUCUGUUGGUAGAGAAGAACGUUGGUGAGAGUGGAAAGCUCAUCAAGUGACGGUAACUACCCAGAAAGGGACGGCUAACUACGUGCCAGCAGCCGCGGUAAUACGUAGGUCCCGAGCGUUGUCCGGAUUUAUUGGGCGUAAAGCGAGCGCAGGUGGUUUAUUAAGUCUGGUGUAAAAGGCAGUGGCUCAACCAUUGUAUGCAUUGGAAACUGGUAGACUUGAGUGCAGGAGAGGAGAGUGGAAUUCCAUGUGUAGCGGUGAAAUGCGUAGAUAUAUGGAGGAACACCGGUGGCGAAAGCGGCUCUCUGGCCUGUAACUGACACUGAGGCUCGAAAGCGUGGGGAGCAAACAGGAUUAGAUACGCUGGUAGUCCACGCCGCAAACGAU